GGGCAUAUGGUGUAGUUGGUUUAUCACGCUCGCUUAGCAUUACAUUUCAAACAUUCAUAUGCGAGAGGUGUCCGGUUCAAUUCCGGAUAUGUCCA